rnacentral:rRNA from 1 species
GAUGAACGCUGGCGGCGUGCCUAAUACAUGCAAGUCGAGCGAACGGACGAGAAGCUUGCUUCUCUGAUGUUAGCGGCGGACGGGUGAGUAACACGUGGAUAACCUACCUAUAAGACUGGGAUAACUUCGGGAAACCGGAGCUAAUACCGGAUAAUAUUUUGAACCGCAUGGUUCAAAAGUGAAAGACGGUCUUGCUGUCACUUAUAGAUGGAUCCGCGCUGCAUUAGCUAGUUGGUAAGGUAACGGCUUACCAAGGCAACGAUGCAUAGCCGACCUGAGAGGGUGAUGCGCCACACUGGAACUGAGCCACGGUCCAGACUCCUACGGGAGGCAGCAGUAGGGAAUCUUCCGCAAUGGGCGAAAGCCUGACGGAGCAACGCCGCGUGAGUGAUGAAGGUCUUCGGAUCGUAAAACUCUGUUAUUAGGGAAGAACAUAUGUGUAAGUAACUGUGCACAUCUUGACGGUACCUAAUCAGAAAGCCACGGCUAACUACGUG